rnacentral:rRNA from 1 species
GACAGAGGAUGCAAGCGUUAUCCGGAAUGAUUGGGGGUAAAGCGUCUGUAGGUGGCUUUUUAAGUCCGCCGUCAAAUCCCAGGGCUCAACCCUGGACAGGCGGUGGAAACUACCAAGCUGGAGUACGGUAGGGGCAGAGGGAAUUUCCGGUGGAGCGGUGAAAUGUGUUGAUAUCGGAAGGAACGCCGGUGGCGAAAGCGACACACUGGAUCUUGUCUGACGCUGAGGCACGAAAGCCAGGGGAGCGAACGGG